AUCCUCAAAAGGCCAGGUAGUUGACAAAGCUGUUUGGCGCAAUCUAACAUAUGUGAGGGGUUCUUCCACGAAUGUUACGUAAGCGGCGGUAGUGCAGCAUGUCGUGGAUGAAGCGGCAAGGCAGCGCGCCACCGCCGAGCUCCGAGCACCAGGCCUACGCUGCAUCUCAGCCAUAUGGGAACCAACAGGAUAUGUAUCCAAAUUAUCCCGGUGCACCACCAACAGCUCAGCAACAGCAAAUGUGGCAAAUGCCACAACAACAACCACAGUAUAAUCAACAAUAUGGCCAAGUUUAUCAGCAGCAACCAUUUGUUAACAACACUAACCAGUACUUCCAACAGCCACAGCAAUAUAAUCAACACUAUCCUAAUCAAAACUUUGAUAAUGCACAGCCUUCGUACCAGCAAAAUUAUUACCAAAAUCAAAUGCCACAACCACAUCAACAACAACAGCAACAACAACAACAUCAACAACAAAAUUUUGCACAAAAUGAAGGUAAUGCUGAUGGAUGGGAAGAUAACUGGAAUUGGGGGUGGGAAGAUUCUUCUAAACAACAUCAAAAGCCUAUGACGCAGACUGCGUCUACUCAGCCAGCUUUACAGCCUCCAGUUUAUAAUAAUGCUAAUGUAAUAGAAGAGAGCUUUGCAUCAACGAAUAGCUGGAAUUGGUCUACAGAAGAGAAAAAAGAUACUGAUCUGCAACAAACAAUAUCUCAACCCAAUCAAGACGAUCAAGAGAAAACUGUACACAUUGAUAAUUCUAACCACGAGAACAAUGUGGCAAACGAACCAAACAUUCAAAGAAGGGCCAGUAAUAUUUCUGCACACAGCACACACGAUGAAAUAAAAACAUUAAACGACAAAGAACUUGUAAAAGAGGCAUUACCGAAUUUAGCUUUAGGAAAGCGCUUUAAUUUAGAAAAUUUAACACCUCAGUGGUCUAUUGAGUCACAAAUGUCCCAGGAUUCUAGUGAUGGACCACAUACACAAUCGGAGGGCACAUACAGGAGCGAGAACCAGUCCAGGAAUUCUAGUAAAAGUAGCCCAGGACCAAACACUGACACGGCAAAUUUUAACUAUUCUCAGUCUAGUUUUAAUGAAAAUGUAAUAAACAGUGAAUGGUCGAACCAUUACACUGAGGAGUCUAAGCUAGUCGGUAAUAUUCAAAGUAAUAGUAGAAGAGAGAGCUGUGAUGAAUUAGUUAAUUCUAUACAGGAUAUGAAUAUAGCUAAUCAUGAAAAUGUAUCUCUAGAUGCUCAACAUUCUAGCCAUAAUGUUGAAAAUAUAUCAGAUACUAAACAGAUGAAAGCACCCGUUCCAUCUAUAUCUCCAAAUCCCAUGGCAUCCAAUCAAUAUAUUUCACAACCAUCUAUGCCCCCUCCACCUCCUGUCUCUACUCAAUACUUAUCACACAAUAUAUCACCAUCUAUAUCUACUAAUAAUUCUGAACAAAUGGCUCCGUCUCUACCUGCAGCCAAUAUUACACCAUCAUCAUUAUCAUCAUCAAUUGCGCAACCUCCUAGCCAGCCACCAACUAUAUCAACGAUGCCUUUACCCCCUACAACGAACUUUCCAACUUCUUCGAGUCAGAAUCCAUUCAAAAAUGCUGCACCAUUUUCACAUAAAAAUAUUUCUAAAGUGCCACCUGUGAAUCCUCAGCCUCAGGCAUAUGCACCUCCAAACUCUAACCAAAUCUUAACUUCACCAGCUGCUGUUAGUAAAGUUGUUCAGCAAGACAGGCUCUCUGCUAACUUUGGAGCUAAUUUGGAAACCACGCCUGAUAAUUCAGAGAGACCUGAUCAACCACAGGUAUCAAGCUACAGAUCAAUGCCUUUACCUUCGCAGGUACCUGAUAACUUGGAAAUAGCCCCACAGAAUGAUAGAAAUGAGUAUUUACAAACUGCCCAUUUAUCUAGUGUGGACUAUGGUGAAAAUACAGAUUUUAGUCGUAAUAUCCCCCCACCAGGGCUAAGAAGAAUGGGCGUGGGACAACAAGAGGUGGAAUACAAUCAGAAUUUAAAUAUUUCUGGUGAUGAGCCUCCUCCGGGCUUAGCGCGAAUGGUGCCUGGUCAGCAGACAGAAACUCAUAAUUCCUACAAUCAAACAGCCGAUGACUACAUGGACCGACAAAUUGACGGGCAACCGACUGAUAGUGAUCGACCUUACAGGCAAGCUGAUGGCCAACAAAUGCCCGAUACCUACUCGCAAACAGUAACUACAAGAGGAGGCGAUAGAAGACCUGUGGGCUUGGAUAGGAUGGUGCCCGGGGAGCCAAGUAAUGAUGAAUAUCCUCAAUAUCAAACUCAGAAUUUUGCUUCUGCAAAUGAACAAAGAGUUGUCACUGGAGUUGAUCGUGACUAUCCAAUAUCACCCGACGCGGGACCAACCGACAUUCGCGAGCAAAACGUGGACGGUUCCGACUAUACUGAACCUCCUGCGAGGAAUCCAUCGAGGAGUAUAAUCGGAGCAAGAGAAGCUAGUAAUGCCACAUCUCCUGAUUUCAGCCUAUCUGUUGAUGAUCAACAAAGAGAGAUCACAAUGGAAGGCGAAAAUUUGCAAGAUUUGAGCGUCGUUUCAUCGGUAGAUAUGUCUUUUUCGAGGGAACCGACGUACGAUGGCUCCAAUGCCAAUACGGUGGAACCGACAAAAGAUCGUAACCAUGAUGCUACAGACGCAACUGAUUACCCAACUAACGAUUCGAGAAGACAAUCUCUGAAUCGCGCCACCUCAGGUGAGGAUUCGGAGAGAGACCGAGCUUUCAAAGGAUCCCCGAGAAAAGACAGGGACAAACAAAAGUCUUCAAGAGAUCGAGACAGGGACAGGGAUAAAGAAAGAGGUCGAUACUCUCGAGGCGAAAGAAAAUACGAGCGCGAAUCUGAGAGGCGAUCGGGCAGAGACGAGCGGCGUCCCGACAAAGACAGGCGGGACAGGGACAGGGACAGGGACAGGGACUGGGAUCGGGAAAGACGCGACAAAGACGGCAGCCCUGAAGGUAGACGACACCGACGCAGCACUCGAAGCCACCGAUACGAGACCGAAGACACCGACUACUACAGCGACCGAGAGAAAAAUCGGAGGCAAUACAGAGAGGGGUCGUACACGUCGUCCCGGCCGCCGCGCGGGGACGACAAGGAGCGGCGGCGCCACCACACGCUGGAGCGCGAGCGCCACGCCGACGAGCGCGCGCGCCGCGAGCGGCCCCGCGAACACUCCGACCGCCGCUACCGCGACAUCGACCCGCGCAAGUACGCCUCGCUGCGCCGCGAGCGGGACGACGGCGACCGCAGAAAAGUCGUAACGUUCAGUGGCGAUGCUAAAACUGCUAGUAGUAGAAGCAAAGACGAGACGUACUCGUCGGGCUCCCGCGCCGGCUCGCGCGAGGCCACGGCCACGGACGAGGAGGCCGACGAGCCGCGCCGCCGCGCGCACCGCGACGAGUGGCGCCGACAUCGGCACCAUCACUACUAUGAUGCUGACCGAGCAGUGUCGGGCGGCGCGCCGGGCGCGGGCGGCGCGGGCGCGUGGGGCUCGGCGCUGGAGGCGCAGCGCCGCCACUACGAGUACUACGAGCGCCUGAGCCGCACCGACCCCGCCGCCUACAUGCGCCUCUACAAGCAGCUGCUGACGCCCGGCCUCUACGGCAACCUCUACGCGGACGGCUACGGCCAGCUCGGCUACGAGGCGCGCACGGAGGAGCGCGGCAGCGUGCACUCGGGCCGGUCCAGUGCCAACGGACUCAAGCCCGCAGACACGUACUACGGCAGCUCGCGAGCCGCGCGCGACGCCCUCUCGCUGCGCACUGACCUCUCCGACAGGGAGCUGACGACGGACAUGUCGCUGAACCUGCACCUCGACGAGUCCACCGUGCGCUCCGAGCGGAUGACGCCCUUCAAGUACUCCACGGCGCACGUCAAGGGCGUGCUGGGCGCGCGCGCGCUGGUGCUGCUGAGCGCGGGCUGGCCCGUGGACGGGCGCGCGCCGCCGCUGCAGCUGCUGCCGCUGGCGCGCCUGCUGCAGCGCGACCCCGCCGCCGCCGCGCUCGCCGCCUACCCGGGCCCGCUGCUCAGAGGCGUCACCCACAAGAAGAGCGUGGUGGAGUACUGCGAGUCGCGGGUGCGCAGCGCGCGGCAACGCGACGGCGGCGACGUCAUCGGCUACGCGCUGCUGUGGGACCUGCUGGCGCUGAUGCUGCGUCAGAACGGGGUGGUCGUUGGUUCGGAUGUUGCCGAGUUGCUAAUGAAGAACACGAAAGAGUUCGAGUACAAGAUACCGUCCGACAAGAGUACAGAGAAGGGUGGCUCGCUGUCUUCGGGUUGUGUCGAGGCAGAGGGGGAGGAGGAUGGGGAGUGCGACUUGCCCUCGAUGCUGGCAGAAGAGGAUGCGAAGGUCAAACCCGUCGUCGAUGAAAAAGAGGCGCUCGAGCGCUACCGAGAGUAUCUCAUUUAUGGCAACCGGCAGGAGGCCCUCGAGUACGCCAUGGACUGCGGGCUGUGGGGCCACGCGCUGCAGCUGGCGGCGCACGGCGAGCGGCGCGCGCGGGCCGCCGUCAGCGCGCGCUUCGUGGCCUCGCUGGCGCACCGCGACCCGCUGCACUCGCUGUACGCCGCGCUGGCGCUGCGCGCGCCGCCGCUGCUGGCCGUGAGUGUCCACCUCGCCCCGCCGCUCGCCCCGCCGCUCGCCUCGUGCGAUACGAACGUUCAACCCGCCAUGUCCCCGCAGGGCGCGGCCGACCCGCGCUGGGGCGACUGGCGCCCGCACGCCGCCAUGCUGCUCGCCAACGCCAGCGCGCGUCCCGACCACGACCGCCGCACCAUGACGCAGCUCGGCGACACGCUCAGUGCGCGCGGGCUGCCGUACUCCGCGCAGUUCUGCUACCUGUCCGCGGGCGAGCCGCUCUCCCCGCACCCGCUGGCGCCCCUGCGGCCCACCGCCGACCCCGCCGCGCCCGUCUCCGCCCCGCGCCUCUCGCUGCUGCUGGCCGACCCGCGCGCGACCACGCUGGCGCGCUUCGCCACCAACGAGGCGAUAUUCGCCACCGAGAUAUACGAGUACGCGCUGUCGCUCGGCUCGGCGCAGCAGGACCACGUGCUGGACGAGCUGACGGUGUACAAGCUGGUGCUGGCGACGCGGCUGGCGGACGUGGGGCAGUGCGAGCGCGCGCUGCGCUACGCCGAGCGCGCCGCGCGCGCGCUGACGCGGUCGCCGCGCCGCGCGCCCGCGCUCACGCUGGCCGUGGCGCAGCUGGCCGACCGCCUCAAGUACUACGACCCCGCGCUGCAGGACGACGCGGCCGACGACGCGGGCUCGGCGCCCGAGGACGCCAGUGCUGACGCCUCGCCGCGCCACCAGCGCUGGCUGCACGAGCUGCAUGCCGUGGCGGCGCAGCUGUCGGCGGAGGCGUCGCAGCAGCACACCCCGCAGCACCGCGCCGAGCCCUACGCGGAGCCCUACGCCGACGGAACGCAGUACGCUCAGUGGGACCAGACCCUGCACCAGACGCAGCCGAUUCAAAAGUAUCCUGAACCCGUGGAAGAUACCCCUGACUACGCCGCCCAGUACUACCAGCAGCAAGGCCAGCUGCAGCAACAUCAGCAGUUUCAGUCGCAGCCGCAACCACAGCAGCUAGUCCCGGAAUCCGCGCAGGAGCAGCAUCACCAACAACCGCAGCAACAGCAGCAGCAGCAGCAGCAGCAGCACUACGAGCCGCAGUACGGCUACGAGGAACAGGCGAACUCGUACGCGGACCCGUACUGGCAGCCCGACGCGCACUACGGGUACAACGAGAGCGCGGAGAGCUCGCGGCCCACCAUCACCAUGCCGGGGGCCACGCGCGCGCCGCGGGAGGACGAGCGCGCCGAGUCCGCAGACCAAGUCGAUCGGGACUCCGACAGUCCGCAGUCCAACGGCAAGGAGGGCAGGAGCGAGGGCGGCGCUAAGGGCGAGCGGCGCGGUGCGGGAGGGGGCGCCGGCGGCGGCGGAGGGGGCGGCGGCUGGCUUGGUGGCAUCCUCACCAAGCUUUCGCUGCGGGCCCCCAACCAGAUGAUCCUGCCCGACGACACCAACCCCACCAUCGUGUGGGACGAGCAACACAAGCGCUGGCGGGACAUGGACGCCGCCGACGCGGACGCGCCUGCCCCCCCGCCACCGCCCCCCACGGGACUAAGCACGUCGACUCCGCUGCAGUCCCCGGCGGCGCUCGGGGCGCCCCCGGCCAUGCCCGUAUCCAACAUCUUUAAAAUGCAGAGAGGACGACACAUAAAGAAGUCGUACGUGGACGUGCUGAACCCGGGCGGCGCGCGCGUGGCCGCCGCCGCGCCGCCCGCGCCCCCCGCGCCCGCCGCGCCCGCCGGCCCGGCGCCCGCCGAGUACUUCGUGCCCGCGCCGCCCGCGCCGCAGGUCGCUACUCGCCCAUACUCAGAUUCACAAUUAAUGUAGAUUCAGCCCCCAACUUUUAUCCUGUUGAUAUAUUUUACUAAAACGAGUUGUCCCGUCCCUCUGCAGCCAUAGAUUACUAUUUCCUCUCCGGUAAUCUUCCAUGACCGUUCCUAUGUAAUGUUCAGCGAAUGCUCGAGCCGGUGCAAGUAAAUAUUCCGUCCUCUCCCGAAGACUCCCCCCUUCCCACUCCGACGCCGCCGCCGACGGAGGGCGGCAUCUACGACCCGGCUCUGAUCACGGCCAACAACGACGAUUUCCGAAGUGGGAUUUAAAUUUGCUAUAGAAAUAUCAAUGGAUUCAAAUUUAUAACUCGAUAAUAUAUUCCUUUUAAAUAAUAUGAAAAGACAGGGUUGUUAUAGUAAUUAGUUUAAGGGUACACCGACACACCAACGCGAUCGGACGAUACGGAAGCGACAUCGGAAACUAAAUCAUAAAGCGACGGCCGCACCGUAAUCGUGCGAUCGUGAAAGCUGCAUUUCCCUUCGUCAGUUCGGUCGCGGAGAUGUGUUCAAAACUUUAGAACGUGUUAUUUUUAUGUUAAUAUAACAUAUUACAUUCCUCUAUAGAUUUACAAAAUCUUUAUUUUUACAACAUAAUCUUUAUUAAAAAUAUUCUGUAUGUAACAACCCUGAAUUGCACUCUUGCAACUUGCAAACACAAGUUUUGGAAUCGACCGCGACCGGCGAGGUAAUGUUAUUAGAAUGUCUCGUGAUUUAUCGCGCUCCUCUGAUAGUACUUAGUUUGCCACUUAAUGAUUUUAUUCAAAUUUUCUUGUCAAGCUGUUUUGUGUGUCCCAUUUUCAAGUAAAGUUUUACAAUUUGUUAUUUUUGUUAAAGUUACGGUCAUACUAGCCUUAGAAACGACGAUUAACUAGUGUCAUGACUAGAUGAGGUAUAUAAAAUAUUUGUUAAUCUGCUCCCACACAGACGAUUAAUUCUACAAGGCAAUAAAUUAUUAGGAAAAGUAUACUAUUAUAAAAAACAAUGUAAUGAUUCUCAAUGUGUGUGUUUUGUACAUCAAAAUAAGAUAAUUUAUAAUCGAGUGAGAAUACAUUUAAAAAAAAAUUAUCUGCGUAAUAAAAGUUUUUAUCGAAAAGGUUAACAAAUAGUGUUGACGCUUGGCGUUCUUACGAUUAUCCGGAUUGUUUCCUUUCGUAGAUGUAUUAGCGACCUUACACACCUGCGCUACUAAGCAAAGCGGAAGGGCAGUACCUAUUUUGUCUAUAUUUGCUUCAUUGUAGUCGUAACUCUACGGACCGCUCCGCUUCGUAUCGCUGGUUUGUUCGAAGUAGGACAACUAUACAUUAGUUAAUUAGUUCUCAUUUCGACUCCGAGUUAGAUAUAUUUUACUUUGUGUAAAUUAAUGCUAUCUUUGUCAAUGUUUUAUUUGAUUUAAAUGUUUUCCCCUGUUCUGGACGUUCAGUUUUACUAUUUAAAAUCAAGAAGUAAGAUUUAAACUAAAGUGUCGAUAACAAUCAUAGUUAAUUAUAAAAUCCCACGCUUUAUCUGUUUUACAAAAAAAAAGUUAUAUCAUAUUUACUUUUGGCAAGAAAAACUGGUUAUACCGGGAGUCGUCUAAUGGUAACACUAUUUUAGAAUAGAUUAAAUGAAUUUUUAUUAUUAUAUAAAUUGAAAAUGAAAUUGGUAUUAUAUUUAUGUUAAUUCUUUACAUUUUAUCUCUUAGGAUCAUAGUUUCCUUCAAUUAUUUUCUCUUAAAUUAUGGUGCAAUAGAAUCGGUCUUCAUUUUUUCAUCUCAAUUAUAGACAAUAAACGUUAGAAAUCUUCUAGAAUAUUCUUUCUUUAGACAUUUUCAUUUUAAUGUUCUAUGUAAAAAUAAGAUUUAAAGGUUAUGUACAGAUAAUGUUGUUUUAUAUAUCGAGAAUGAUAGAGGGCGAGGCAGGUUGUAUAGAGGUAGGGGGUAGGGGGAGGUCGUAGCGACGGACUGGCGCUACUAUGUUCGUGUAUUUGUAUAAAGGUGUAAUGAUGACGAAUGUCUGUAUAUUUGACGCUCGCGGCAAGCAACGUGUAUUCCGUAAUGUAUUAUAAUAAUUCAUCUUAUUGAAAUUAUUUAAAUAAAUUGUUUACGUUAAU